UCUGUACAAUCUUUUGGCAGCUGUGUUGCACAAGGGGUUGCUUCUGGCUUGGGUGCCCUCUUGCCUCCAAAUGCCUUCAAAAUAAGACUCUUCCUGUUACCCUCAUCCUUUUGUUGCAAAACAACCACCGAUUUUAUCUGAAACCAAGCCGACGUACCCCUAAGGGGUGGUAGACAUCUCCCAGUUUUCCCUCUGGCUUGUAUAAAUAUGAGUAGUGGAUGCCUCAGACACCAAAAGAAACAGUGCCUUCUCUACCAUCCUCUUGCUGCCUCUUGCUAGGAAGAACUUCUUCACCACACCCUAAAAACCGAGGAUAAGAGCCUUCCUCAGCCUGACUGUCUUGUGUCUCUCUCUGGCUUCAUGUGAUGGAGCCUGCAAUUUCAGUCCGUUGGCAACUCCAGAUGGGUGUAUUGAUCCAUUCGACGGAAGCAAACAUCCAGUGGGCUCCAAGUGGAAUACAGCCCAGUGUCUGGAAUGUAGCUGUGGUAAAACAGGAAUGUCAUGCUGUACCAGAUAUGGUGGCACUGUAAGCGUUCCUGGAUGCACAGCAGUGGUGGAUCCAGAAACAUGUACUUAUAAGCUGCAUAAAACUGGCGACCCCUCAAAACCAUGUGAUAAGGCUUAACAGCUUAUUUUAUACAUCUUUGCCUGCCAUACAUGAGGCCAAGAGUAAAUCAUUAAGUUUUACAUCUCUGUGUCUGUCUUCUUUCUUCAAUGACCAAUAAAUGACUGUCCUUAUUUCCAUUACAUGAAGCAGGCAGGAUUUCUUUUACGGUUGAGGGAACUGUCAAGUCUUUUGGUUUGAGGUCAAUUUUAUUAGGAUUAUUUGGUAUUUACUGGCAGAGUACAGCAGUCUAGUGCAGUCUGUGAUUGUUGAAUAGAAUAUUUCGUUUGGAAACUGGGAUAAAGCAAGAAACGGAAAAUGUAUUGUCUGCUAGGCGAGAAACUCAUCAGAGGAUAGUUCAGAAGGAAAAAAUAAACAUACCCCAAAUCACUAAACUUCAUUGCAAAGCUAGUGGGGUGCAGAGAGGACUGUAUAUCAGAGUCAGACUCGAGAGACCUGGGUUCAAAUCCCUGCUGGACUACAGAAACUCACUUUCUGCAAAUAAGUCUUAAUGUUAUCCAGAACUGUAAGUACUCAUCUCAGGAUAGUCCUGAUCUAGAUCAAGCUGCAUACUAGCUUCUUUUGUUUUGAAUAUAUAACUCAAAUCUAUCAUCAAACAAAGGUAAACAUAUUGACCAACUGGAACAAAACAUUGAUCAAAUGGGUCAAUUGACUGAUCCAACUUUCGAG